AGUUAUAACGUUUUAACAAACGCGGUAAACGUUCAGAACUAGUUAACAGUAACAUAUGAAUCAACCUACCCGGUCCGGGUAUUCUUUUUGCACACAGCCGUUGCACAUUUUUAACUUCUCUCAGGUCACUUGGUGAUAAAAAAAAAAAAAACAACCAACAACUGCCAACCACCAAUGUCUUUCUUUUUGUUGGGCAACAACUCCUCUUCCGCACUGAACAGUGGCCCCUUCGGCUCAUCGGAGCUGUACAAGACCCUCGCGGCCGGAAGUCGUCGCGAAAGCCCCGAAGUCGGCUCCUCUCAUCUUUUGUAGAUCUACUCGAGGCUGGAGACGAACUUCCGGUGUCUUCUUCAGCCAGCGAUUGGCCGACGUGAACUUUACGUCAAUUUGCGUGAACAAACAUGGCGGUCGAGCUGCAGUAGGUCCGUCCUUGCCAUGACAAAUGUGUUUGGUAUUUCUGAUAUAUUAUUAUUCAGGCAUCACAUUUUUUUCUGCAUAAUCCGUUAAGAAUUUCCCUACAUUUCCGUUAACUUAACGGCUCGUGUGAAUUCAACGUGAGCGGUAACGGUUUCACGUCGGUCCACCUCAAAGAAAUGUCAAACGUUCAAACCCCGCAUGGUAAGUUGGGUAAAGCCCAUGUGAAGAAGAAGAAGAAGAAGAAGAGCAAUGCAGCAUAUUCACAGCAAGCCAAAACGGUCUACUGUAUUUUGUGUCGCAGAUCUUCUUUGAAAGCGCAAGUACAACACCAUGAACAUGGCAUGCUGCAUCACAGAGAGCUGGAGACAGUGCGGGGCAUGGAUUCAUUUCAUACGUGUCAGGCGUGUAAUGCAUCCUCCAUGAGUUUAAAUGAGUAUGCUAAGCACAUCUCCACCACUCAAACACCAAGCGAAGUUGAAGAGUUUGAUCGUGAGAAACGUAAAGCCUGUCCCUCUGAAUAAGACUCUGUGCAAAAGACCAUGAUCCAUCUCGCAGAGAGAAACAAGACACUAAAAAAGAGGAGAAGAAAGCAGGGAAAAAGAAAAAAAGAAACUGCAGCAAGAAGCUGGUCAUGCUGAAAUGCGACAGGGAGCCUUGUGGAAAAACCCGGUUGGGUCCAAAGUAGCGAAGCUGGAAAACAAACAAGUGAACAUGAGGAUACUGAAGCAGGAGACUCACCAACAAGGAAGUAACAAUGCUGUUGUUCAAAACAAAGAGAACAACGCGUCCCGUAUGCAAAGGUGUCUUCACGAAAGAGAAUCAACUAAUCAAAGCGAAAGAUUUGUUUGCUUCUCAGAAGAGCCUGCAGGUCAAACUUCUAUUCAAGACCAGUCCACACAAUCCACUCAGCAGCUGGAGUAUAAUGACAACUUUUCUGUCAAAAUGGAGAGCUCCCAAACAGACAGACUUGUCAGCAGACCUUACACAACCAAGUAGGUGCCACGAGGAAGCCAAAAAAACAAAAAAUGGUCUACCGACGUGCAGACGAAACUAUUACAACCAGCAGUUUGAUGGAGAAUUCACCAGUGAUCUCCUUCCUCAUAAUGGAGCCAUCAUCUUUGGUCAUGACCAGGAAAGACUGGGACCCUCUCCGCCAGCACAAAAAGGUUCGGCUCAAAUUGCUCCACCAAACGGAGCCGCCGAUGCAGAUCCAAUACGGGAUGUCGAUGUCAGUGCGAUGCUUACGGCAAAUCAGAAGAGCACUGGGUGUGAGGGAGCCGUGUAGGAGCUGACCGUGAAAGCCCGGAAGCAGAACUCUAAAGCAGGUUUCCAGAUCGGCUGAUCAUGACACCUUGCACACAAGACGGAGCUGGAGAAAAAGCAGCCGACAGGUGUAUCCUCUAAGAAGAACAAGAAGGAGGCGACACGCCACAUCACCUCUGCUCCAGCUACAUCCGAGCAAUCCUCACAGGUUAACAGCCCUGCCCCUGCAUCCCCAUUCUGGUGUUUCUCACUCUAAUAUUACUCCCCCUAAGCCAAAGCAGAGAAUGGUCAAAUGAAACAAGAAAUGACUCAACAUUGUGAGACAAGCUCAAUGUUUGCAAGUGACUCAAAUGGACAAUCACACCGCAGGGAGGGAGAAUCUCAGGAGCUCGACAGCCAGACCUCUCUCAGCCAAUAUCCGACCACAUCCUCUGAGUCUAACCUGAACAUCACUCGCAAGGUUCGAAUUGCCCACAAAUCAGGCAACGUUCAGGAAGGAAAAGAGGCUGGGCUGACACCAACCGUGAAAACAUUGCUUAGCUUAUCAAGGACCAAGAAUAAGUUGACCUGGAGGGAGAUGUACAAGGAGAGGAAAAGGAUGAAGCAGGAAAAAGACAACGGCAUGCCCAGGUAAACCUCUUUUCUUUUAAACUAUAUCCCUUUAUAGUUUGUUUGAAGUUAUAGUUUUCAUCUGUUUUAAUUCUGUGUGGAAACAGGUUUGAAUUGGUUGGGGACCCUCUGUCUGACCCGAAAAAGCUCAACACAAGCAAAAGGGCCAUAAACACAAGUCUGACAGAAGGCUUUCACUGGGAGGUCGUUCCUAGACGGUCCUUCAGGUGCACAACGGACCGUGUUACCACCUCGCCCCAGAACAACAAGCAUAUAAUGACUCUCACACAGAAACACAGUCAGAAUCUCUGAUUCGGGAGACCUUUGGAGCAGACUGGUGCGGCACAGGAAGCUGCAGCAGACAGAUGGCUGAAGCUGUCUCUGUGAAGGUGGAGCCACAGUUGGAGGGAAUGAUGGAAUUGAGAUUUGAGCGCCAACGGUCACAGCAGCAAGAGGAAACGCAAUGCUUAUGAUGGCAUUUCUGAUAUGCAAUCAAGUGGAAAAAAGAAGAAUACAAAGUCAAACAGUGACCAGGGCCAAAUGGACCAGCUGUUGGCUGUGUCUCUGAGGGAGGAUGAGCUGAGUCACUCGUUGCAGGAUUUGGAGCCGGUCUCUGAUUCAGGCCCGCAAUGCCCUGCAAGCUGCCUACACAGAGGCAGACACUCCUGCUAUUGAGACAGCAGUUUACUGAGGAGGUCAACCGUCUGAGAGCCCAGCGCAUUGAAAUCCUGCAAGGGAUGCAAGGAGGAUACACAGAAGCAGAGAAGCCACCACCUCAUCAGCAGGGGCUCCUGCUAUUGUACAUCCAAGACUCUCGCCCCUUCCUUCCUCACCCUUCCCCACCUCCUUCAGCCAGCAACCACACCCAACAUCUUCCAUUAGCCCCCUUGCUCUGCCAAUCAUGCCAGUGGAGCAAGACAUCUUCCAAACAUCCACAGUUGGGCAGGCCAGUCAGUUUGCCAAAAACAGUCUCCAGUGACUCUGAUACACUUCAGGUACCUGCGUACCAACCCGUGCCCCUGUUUCCCUCUGAUUUGAAAUCUUCACUGCUGCUUCCGGCACCAUGCUUAGCUGCUCCUACACUGCUGUUACCUCUCUCAACUAGAGUCCUCUGCAUCAGCAUGUACAAAUAGUUUUUUCCGAAUCGUCUGCCUGCAGCAGACGGUGACAUCAGUGAGAGGAGAAACGCAGUCAGCCGGCAGUGAUUCUGAGGAAGAGAUGGGAUUAAUCUCUGCAUGAAAGUUAAUGAAAAAGAGCCAGCAGCAGAGAAGCCAGUCUCCACUUUAGUCCCCAAAAAGGUCAAAUUGCAUCUGCUGCAACAUCAGACGAAGAUAAAGAAAACGAGAGCGACGCCUCCAUCGAAUGAUGGAGCCCUGCGAUGGGGUGGUCAUUGAUAUCGAUGGCUCAGACAAUGAGGAUGCGCCAAAUGUUCCAGUCCACCAAGAGCCUCCUCAAAGGUCUGUCAGCGUGGAGUUCAAUUCUUUAAGCACACAGACAUUUCAGCAAAGUGAUGUUGAGAGAAAAUUUGUGCCAGUGAAAGAUAGCGGUGCUACUCUCGAAUGUGGGGACCGAGGACGAGGAGAUGUCCGUGGGAUCUUUUCUGAAUCACACGGGCCCUGUCCACGGCCUCCAAGUUCACGGAAGCCGGUUGUACACAUGUUUCAGGGGACAACACGGCACGGGCCUACAAUCUGAUGAACAAGGAGUGCGAAGCAGUGUUUCAAGGUCACACAAACAAAGUCAACUGUCUGCUGGUGUCGUCUGUCCCAAACAUGCCUCUCGCCUCUACACCGGAUCCAGUGACCAGACCAUCCGCUGUUUACAGCAUAAAGACCUCAAAAGUGUCUGCAGCAGAUCACUCUGACAGACAGAGUGUUGUGUUUGCACAUUGCCUGGAAGAUCCUGUAUGCUGGACUGGCCAACGGAUCAGUGGCUAGCUAUGACUUAAAG